GGUCCUGUGGUGUAGUGGUUAUCACGUCUGCUUUACACGCAGAAUGUCGCCGGUUCGAACCCGGCCAGGACCU
rfam:Caenorhabditis japonica strain DF5081 Contig2008.1, whole genome shotgun sequence.